AAGCAGAGUUGAGGAUUUAUGAGUGAGAUGUGCCAAAAGAUGAUAGCGUUGCAGCAAUAGAGGAGCCAAUAUCAGCAAAUGAGGAGGACUUCUAUUAUGCACCAACUGGAAGUUAUCAUCAUAUCUACUUAGGGAGAAGUUCUUGCGGAGGCCAUUUUAGAUUAUGCUCAUACAGGAGCAACCACUUUUUAGAAGAUGACACCAACAUUUCACUAUCGCCAGGGACUUCACAAUGCAGACACGUAUUCUAAAAAUCUUCUCCAAGGUUUUAGACACCAAAAGAUUGGUAAACCAAGAUUUUGUUCCUCUGUUCAAUUUGGACACAUCCUCCAAGCUCUUGGAAAGGUGGGAUGGACACGAACCUUUAAGCCAGAAAUCAUUUUAAGCAUUAAAUCAGAAGCAAGAAACUUGACUGAGACCUCUCCUGUGCAACAUCUGAUAUCAGCCAAGAAAACCUCAGAGAAUGCCUCAGAUCUAUCUAAGCUACAGUAAUGAUAGAGAGAGAGAGGGAUUUUUAUCUACGCUGUUUUUACUGGUUUAUGUUUUUCCACCAUCCGCUGGGUGACGAUAAAAGCCCCUGCGGUUGCAGAAGUUUCAUAAGGUAAGAUGUUACACUAUAUAUAUAGUAGAUCAGUUUCUAAAGCAGUUUGGGAUGCAUUUUGGAAAUAGGAGAUGAGCCCCUGGUCUAAUGCGCCGCCUGGCUCGAGAAUCCCAAAAGACUCAAAGAUUUAUUAUUUGGGUAGCGCACAGAUUCUGAAUGCCUUCUGCAGAAUUCAAAAGAGCCAUUUUAAUCUAGAUUAAUUUAGAUUGCCCACCUAUUAUAUAUAUAUAUAUAAUAUAAUAUAUACAUAUACAUAUACAGUUGAACCAGAAGUUACAUACACUGUAUAAAAAGGCACAUAACCAUUUAAAAAAAAGUCAGAUGUUAAUGUGACUAAACUUUUUCUCUUUUAGGUAAGGAGUUAGGUGUUAUGAUUGUCAAAUUCGUUUCUGUGAUGCUUAAUAACAGAAUAAUGAGAGAGAUGUUUUUGAGGAAUUGUUAUAAAUUUUCUUGAAAGUCAAGUUUGAUUUUGAGUUUUGAUUUGAUUUAUUUAUUUUCGAACAAAGUAUCAUACAUAAAAUAUCAUUAACAAUAAAUACAUUUCAACAUGGUCGAAAAUGGAGUGGGAUGAAGCACAAGCUUAUUAUUUUCCCACCCCAUUACCACAUACAUCAUUCGUCUAUUACUUAAACUUAUUUCUUCCUUUACUGAUCUCUUCCUUUCACAUGAACACAUUCUAUCCUUUUGGCAUAUCCGACAAACUAUAUGUUUGGUUCCAUUUGUACCCGUAUAUCUUGUAACAUAAACGCAGAGGGAAAAAAAACAAAAAAACCUAGUGCUGCAAAUAGCCAUCAAUUAAAAUUUCAUCAUACCUUUCUCUUUUUAUACCUUUUCAAUCACCUUCAUCAUUAUAUUCCUUUAAUAAUAUUUAUUUAUGCAACUUUUUAAAUUGAUAAAUAUCCUGACAUUGUUUGAGAGUCAGAUCUAGACUGUUCCAUAGUUUUACACCACAGACAGACAUACACAAACUUUUUAAAGUUGUCCUUGUUUUCAACCUCCUAAAAAUGAGUUCUUCUCUCAGAUUAUAUCCCCCUUGUCGUUCUUCGAAAAACGUUUGUAUGCAUUUUGUUAGUAGUUUAUUCCUAGCUUUAAACAUAAAUUGUGCUGAUUUAAAUUUAACCAAAUCAUUAAACUGAAGUAUCUUUAAUUUAAAAAAUAAAGGAUUUGUAUGGUCCAAAUACCCCAUAUUUUCUAUGAGUCUAAUUACUUUUUUCUGAAUUGUACAUAUGGAUCGUAAGUUAGAUU